rnacentral:rRNA from 1 species
UACAGAGGCCUCGAGCGUUAGGCGGAAUCACUGGGCUUAAAGCGUGUGUAGGCGGACCCCUAAGUACCUUGUGAAAUCCCACGGCUCACCCGGUGGAACGGCUGGGUAUACUGGGGGUCUUGAGCCACCUAGGGGCGAGUGGAACAAAUGGUGGAGCGGUGAAAUGCGUAGAUAUCCACAGGAACUCCGGUGGCGAAGGCGGCACGCUGGACCUUUUCUGACGGCUGAGGCGCGAAAGCCAGGGGAGCGAACGGG